UUCUAAUGGUAGUAUAAGUUGCCACUUUAUAAUAAAAAAGAAACAGGUGGGAACAAUAAUCAAAGCACACACUCCUUCAGAAUGUCAGUAAUUCUGAAUCCCUUCUUUGAUGCAGAAAUAGCUAUUUUUUAUUUCUAAAAAGGGAUUUUAAAGAAUUGUACUUCCUGACAGAUAUCCUGGUAAAUCAUAUCAGAUUGAAAAUUUAUACUUGAGGGCAAGAAAAAACGUGCUAAAUGCAGAUAUUCAUUUUUCUGGAAUUUUCCUGGAACCCAAGUUAAAAAUCAACAUUUAAAAUCUAAAUUAAUGUUCACAGAUGAUAUAUUGAGCUUCAGUAACAGAAGCAAAAAUAUAUUUAACACAAUGAUAAUAAAUUUAAAAUAAUGUCAUAGUAGAAACUGCAUCAUUAGACAUUUUAUUAGUUGGAAAGAAUGAGUGGAUGUUUUUUGUCUUUGCUCUAAGCACAACCUAAGGACUGUGGCAUUAAUUUUUUCUUAAAGUUGUUCAAAAGUCCAAAAUAUACUCCCAUGAAUAGAGCGGGUUUUAGGCUCCAUUAAAUGUUAACAUCUUAAGAAAUUAUUGAGACUGAAAUGUUUAAUAAACGCAUUAUAUGAGAAACC
rnacentral:lncRNA from 1 species